UACCGUAAAGCGGCUUAGGCGUGCCGCGUGAGGCGUGGGUUAGGGGGCAGAGGAGUCCGGGGUAGGGGGUGCCCUGUUUGGGAUCGGAAUGUAGGGUGUGAUGGAGGAGGAGGUAGGAGCAAUCGGCGGCGGCGGCAAGACGGAGGGAGGAGAGACGGGAUGUUGGAGCGGUGGCCCUCCUUCGGAGGUAAGCACCGCGGUAUGGCGACGGCAACACGACACGUGCGAAGUAAGGGGUGUCGGGGAGGGAGUAGGAACGAGCCGUGGCGGCGACGGACGAUGAGGGGAGGUGGUGACAACGACGAACACGCCCAAGCGGGAGAGGGGCGCGCCGCGCACGCGUAGUGCGGUAGAUGCCCUCGCACCCCCGUCCGGAGCGGGCGUGGGGAGGCGGGAUGGAGGGAGGAACUAGAGAGAGGGACCAGUCGGCGGUGGUUGGGAUCGGGGGAAAGUAUGUGGCUGAGGAGAGAGACGGGCACGUCCGCCGGUAGAAGCAAGGUGGGGCUCGAAGAGUAGGAGGAAGGAACGAAGAGAUGAGGGUGUGCUUCCUCCUUCUACGUUUACCGCAGCCGAAACCCUCUAUCGAGUGGGGCCGACUUGGUUGACUAGUUCUUAGUAUCUAACUAAGAUAAUGAAACGCAGUAGUACAGGCACGGGUCGCCUGUCCGCCUACGUGGCGGCCGGUGGUUCGGCAGUUGAGGCCGCCGGGGACCUGUCGGCCGGUGGUUCGGUAGUUGAGACCGUUGGGGACCUGUCGCUCCCAAGUGUGGUCGUCGGCCGCUCCACUAAGGUGUAUCACGGCCUGCUCCGUUGAGGACAUAGGUACCUAGCGGGGUCCUACGAGGUCUAACCUCUUGCUGCCAACGAUCGUUACUAUGUAUGCAUAGUUGUUGUCUUCCUCCGUAACUAACCAGAGUCUAACUCUAUCGUGGUUACUUACUACUGCUUUAACUACAAGGAUAUUGUCUUCUUUUAUACACGAGCCACGAACCUUAGUUGCUACUUGGACACGUUGCUUUUACACAUAGACUUCGUCGGUAGUUUCGGAGCUAACGUUUACAACUACGUACAUAUCAACUAUAAUCACUCCUGAAUGAACGACUACGCCGAGAAGGUCUUGUAGGACACUAUCUCCUUCCAAGAAACAAAGCAAGCUACUUUCUCAAAUCCUACGAAUACUCUUGUAAACGAUAAUCUCCUUAACCUACAGGAACCGCAUAUUAACGAUCUUGCUAUCUUCUACCGUUUUGUUAGUCCCAAUUGUUCUAUCAUUUCGGAGUAUUCACAAGUAGUUGGCGAUUUCACUAAUGUUCGUACCGUCUGGUUCGUACCCACCGUCUUUUCCGUUAACCCAUAGAAGUUUGACUUGGUUUGUAACCACCGUACCUCGAGGAUUAUGAUAACCCAUGUUCGUCUCAUGUUUACAUGAUAACCCACGUUUGUUACACCUUAGAACCCCGUGUCUUUCGUUGAACAUUUUUCUUCCUUCGAUUACUCUCUCUGCACAGACGAGUGCUCGAGCGAGGUCGACAACAACGCUGUGGGUGUGCGUGUUGUUGUUAGUGUCACGGAGGGUCGGAAGUAUUGUCGGGACCCGGAUAAAGUUCCUCGGCUUCCGUUACGUAGUGUUGGUAGACCUUGUUGCUUACAAAGACGUGGUAGCGGAUGAAGAGUGUAGGGAAGUUCGAGAUGCCGUACGUUCUUUUUUUAAUGGGGUUCCUCCUUCUUCUACUAUUCGGCCCGUACCAUUUACAACGCCUUGUUCGUUUUAGUACAGUUUAACCCUCAACGGUGGUUUAUUCGUUCUACUUCGAGCCGUAAAAGUAUAUAGAGUCCCCGGUAUAGUCGGUCCUUCUCGGGGGUUUGUGAGAUUUAUAAUUAAAUAGAAAUUCGCGGCGGUUUACCCUCUACUGAAUGUAUAACGUACUAGUAUAUGCAUCGUCCCUCACGGCCGCGGACGGCCUGGUCUGUGGUGGAUGCCGCCCCUCACCGUCGACGUUGCUGCUCAUAAAACGAGCCGCUCGUUUGCCGCGUUAGGCGGAUAAGGCGUUGAGGUUCGACGUCGCCUCGAUGGCCUGGCGGCUCUACGUCUCCUCGGCGUCGCGUAGGCUCGACGUCGUCCUCGGUAGGGCGCAGAGGCUCAAAUUGCCCUCGGGGGCGGCGGCUCGACGUCGCCAUCGGCGGCGGUUCUACCCCAGGUUCAUAGGAGCAGCCGGAGGACGUCCUAGAGUGAAGUCUCGACGGCUCCAACAGGAGUGGUUCCUUCGCCGGCUGUCGCGUUCCCCCCCGAGCAGGAAUGCACCACGAGUUGGCCCCUAACUCUAAACCUCCCUCUGAUCCCUCUGGGGCCGCUUUUGCUCGCACGAUCGCCUCCGAGGCCCUUACGUCCCACUAUCCCGGGUCAGAUACGAGGGCAACACAACAACCAUCCAUUGAUUUGAGGACAUUGAAGUGACUUAGUAACUUCAACAGAAAGGGUUAGACUCAAAACGAAAUGUUGUUGAACUAACGAACACAUAAACACAUGAAAAGACUUACAACAAGGCAAGGAACUAUUUAUGUAGCGAGAUGUCCCAACGAAUUUCUUCAAUUGAGAAGAAGUAUCGUCAAAAAGUUUACGGGACUACCCUACUGGGAUUUGUACCUAUCAAAUUGAACCAUAUAGUCGAGUUUGUGGACUAGCCGUUUUACCUCAAGAUAACCAGGAUUGACGGCAAGAUUUAGGAAGUUUUUCUUUUCCUUUUCACUAUAUGAUUUAUUUGAUAGACGAGAUAAUAAAAAUAAAAAUCAGAAAGAAGGUAGGUAGAUAAAUAUCAUGGGACCCAUCGAUGUCGUAACUACGAGAAAGAAAGAGGCAUGCCUUCGAAGACCUGCCCUAAAUCUGUUCCUUUGCCUCUGGGCACGUUUUAGCUCGUAGGACCACCACGGAGCUGGUUUCGCCCAGCUGCCUAUCGCGGCCACUCGUGCCUCGUACCACGUCGCUCAACCUAUCCGCCGUUCUCUCCACUGGUGCCCACACCGAACCCCUCGAGGCGUGUGUACUUCACUACUACUCACGUAGGCUGGGGUGGUACGACGACCAGGACCUCUUGUUCCAUAACCGUAAACAGUAACAUGUUGUGAUCGCUUGGCCGUUCGUUACUUCAACAAAUAAGGUAAGGGGACAUUUGAUACUUGACUUACCGAUGACACAACUACGUAUAAACAAAUUGACUUCAAAUCAAAAUAAUACAGGUAUGGAAACUAAACAAGAUGAAAUCACACCAGACUCUAUAUUACUAAAUAAUGUACACAUAGUGUAUAGAUAAAUAUGAAUGAAACCUUUAACGUCGUGGGAGAGGAUUGACAGACUUACCCCCGAAAAUCGAUUAAUAAUGGUUUGUGACUUUAAAGAUUUUGACUUUUCUAUAAUUUCUUUGUGUUUGACAAAGUCUUAUGAGGUCCUAACUUAAACCCGUAACGCGGAAUUAUUCUAUAGUUAGUUUUCGAAUCACUUUUUAUUUAUAUAAUGGUUGCGCUCCAUGACUUAAUUUUACACGUAGAUGUAGAAUAACAUGUCUUGUUCGAAUGAAUAAAAUUAAUUUCCCCAUAUAUAUAUAUAGUUUAGUCAUAUCAGGAAAAAUUGAAACUCGAUUGUGUCUUUUAACAUAUCUCUUUUAAAUGCUAGCGUAAAACUUUUGAGAUAACGUAUCAAACUUGGAAGUUAAAAGUAAUGAUUUUCCUAGCAACCAUAACGGUUUAACGGUUCGUAAAUAAAAGUUAAUGAGAACCAAACCGUACCUGUGACACGGUAAACCGCGGUAAGCUACGGGUUGAGGAUAGUAAACAACGUAAAUAGAUAAGAUCUAUUUUACUUUACUUAGAAGUCACAACCCUGAUUACUAACUGUGAACAACAGAUUUACGUCAUGUACGCGUAACGUCGCCAUUACAACAAUUGACAGGGAUAUAUAAGGAAUCAAUCUACAGAUUAUUUAGUUCUUAAACUGUGAACAGUCAUUCAAGUCAUAUAGUAGCAAAUGAAUCUGUUUUAUGUAGUACCAGUUUGUUAUGUUUAUAAAGUGUUCAUCUUUUCCGUAUGUUUAUAAUUAAAGGUCAUUUUACUACCUCACAAGUCUAUAUAGUUACGAAAGUGGAGUGAACAGUACGACAAUACUUGAUAUAAAAAACACAUUAACGAUAUAGUCUUAGCUUCAUUGGGUAAGCUGCGAACUGACAUAGAAUCGUACGAAUAACUCAUGUAAGGAAUACAGUAAAAAUGUCUAUUUAAUAAAACACAGUUCAUAGCGAAAAACGGUAUACCUGUACUGUUCAACAGUAUGUAGCCGGACAGUUUAAAUAGCCCACGGUUCAAGUGAACGGUAUAAGAGUUAAAACAAAGAAGACUAAAACCACAACCACACACAUAACAAUCACUUUUAUACGAGUAUCAAAAAAAAAUUUAUACACAUGCGGUAAUUGACUACAGUAACACAAAAGGUUCCCAUAUACUUGGUCUUUACUACACUAUAUGAACCAAUAAACUUGUACUUCCAGUUGGCGCCCCACCUCGCUGUACCCACUCGACUUUAACAAGAUGACUAAGGAACUACGAGACAAGUAACGAAACAAGAAUAAAAUAGCAAGAAAUAAACGAAACAAGAAAGGAUGUUCUUCUACGGCUCAGCACAUUAUACAAGUUUCUUCACUCUUAGACGUAAAAUACUUACAAAAGAAGAAAGAAGUAACAAUGGAGUUCAGUCACUUAAGUCAAUUCAACAUGACUCGUCGAAGUAUGCGUACUAAAGAGGUAGAUGUGUAGAAUAAGUCAGUACUCCGGUAAUUCUAGAAAAACUGUAAAUAUUUUUCCCACUACGGUUAAUCUGCAAUGGCACAGGUUGAACUAGAAAUUGAACGAUAAUGACAACCCUAGACGUGUAAGUUCCUAAAAAGUAAUUUAGUAGCCAAGUGGUCAAGAAACAAUGAACUCUAUAACACUAUUUGAAUAUAGUAACGAAUGAUAUGUAUACAGACCUACUACGGACGUCCGAGUAAUGUUCGAAGUCGACCUAGUUUAUCACCCGGAAGAUAUAUAUAUAUAUAAGUCGACAUAGUAAAGAAUGAUAUAUAUAGAAAGACAGCUGGUCUGUUUUGGUAUGUACCUAGGAAACGGAGGAAAUAACGAGUCUGGGGUACUAUGUUGGAACCGCCAACAGGUCGCUGAUUGUCCCAGGAGGUGGCUACCACUUUUAUGGAGUGUACUACUACAACCUAUAAGAAGAUGUUUGAAGACCGGAUGGUCACCGACUCAUAGCUUCGUUUUACACUGUCAACGUACUACACGAACUGACAAAUAAACGUAUGUCGUUAUAGUAGAAAACCUCUAUAUUUGUCGGCAUACCGACAAUGUACUCUGGUACAGCCUUCUGGGACGACGAUACAUUCCUUUUCCUAAGUACUAUGGGCGCCACUUUUGUCUCUAUUCUACUAUGUCAAUCUCGUCGUAACUCUUUGGUUCCUGUGCUUUACUCAGACUUUUUACGAUACCCGACUAAGCAAGAUCGAUCCGAUACACACCAUCUUCAACAUGAGUGUCCUUCUGAUAGCACGAAACAUAUUUGGUGCAAGAUACUAAGUGAAGAUAAUACGAAUAAAUGUAAGGUCACAAUCCUGACUUUAGGUAGAUAAAUUACUUAAACCAACAUAACCGUAAUGGAUAAACUGAAUCCGAACCAAGUAGUGUAUAUCUGACAAAAAGAACAUUGGGCGAUGAACAUACUGGAUUUUGACAGUACAUAUU
rnacentral:rRNA from 1 species